GACGAACGCUGGCGGCGUGCUUAACACAUGCAAGUCGAACGAGUGGCGAACGGGUGAGUAACGCGUAGGAACCUACCUAUUAGAGGGGGAUAACUAUUGGAAACGAUAGCUAAUACCGCAUACUAGUAGAUGGACCUGCGUUGUAUUAGCUAGUUGGUGGGGUAAAGGCCUACCAAGGCGACGAUCCGUAACUGGUCUGAGAGGAGGAUCAGUCACACUGGAACGGAGACACGGUCCAGACUCCUACGGGAGGCAGCAGUGGGGAAUAUUGCACAAUGGGGGAAACCCUGAUGCAGCAACGCCGCGUGCGGGAUUACGGCCUUCGGGUUGUAAACCGCUUUCAGCGGUAGUGGCAGAAGAAGCACCGGCUAACUACGUGCCAGCAGCCGCGGUAAUAC
rnacentral:rRNA from 1 species